UGGGGAAUUUUGCACAAUGGGGGCAACCCUGAUGCAGCGACGCCGCGUGAUUUAGAAGGCCUUCGGGUUGUAAAAAUCUUUUUUACGGGACGAAAAUGACAGUACCGUAAGAAUAAGGUCCGGCUACAUACGUGCCAGCAGCCGCGGCAAUACGUAUGGACCGAGCGUUGUCCGGAAUCAGUGGGCGUAAAGGGUACGUAGGCGGCCUAGUAAGUUAGAAUUGAAAUAAUAUAGCUCAACUAUAUAAAGCUUUUAAAACGGCUAGGCUUGAGAGACGGAAGGGAAAGUGGAGUUCCUAGUGUAGCGGUGAAGUGCGCAGAUAUUAGGUAGAAUACCGGUGGCGAAGGCGACUUUCUUGUCAUCAUCGGACGCUGAGGUACGAAAGCGUGGGUAGCAGACAGG
rnacentral:rRNA from 1 species